CAGCAGCCACGGGAAUACGUAGGUGGCAAGCGUUGUCCGGAAUUAUUGGGCGUAAAGGGCUCGCAGGCGGUUUCUUAAGUCUGAUGUGAAAGCCCCCGGCUCAACCAGGGAGGGUCAUUGGAAACUGGGAAACUUGAGUGCAGAAGAGGAGAGUGGAAUUCCACGUGUAGCGGUGAAAUGCGUAGAGAUGUGGAGGAACACCAGUGGCGAAGGCGACUCUCUGGUCUGUAACUGACUCUGAGGAGCGAAAGCGUGGGGAGCGAACAGGAUUAGAUACCCGGGUAGUCCCUGUCUCUUAUAC
rnacentral:rRNA from 1 species